rnacentral:lncRNA from 1 species
UUAACCUUUCCUGUUCCAUUCUUGUUGAAUGGAAAUGUCUUUCCACAGGCACACAUGUUUGUACACAUCCAUCUCAUGGGCUGUUUAGGAAACGUCCUGGAACCUUUAGAAGGCAGAUGUCACUAGGGGUUGGCCUUGAGGCUUUAAAGUCUGGUCUUACUUGCUGUUUACUCCCCAUUUCCUGAAAUUGGAUGUAAUGUAACCAACCAGUCUCCCGCUCCUGGUAUAUUUUCUUCUUUCCUGCAAUGCCGCUUCAGCCAUGAUGGAUUCUACUCCCCAGGAACGGAUACAUCAGUGUGGGCCGGCAGAAGGAGGCUGCACAUUGGCCACUCUUAGAACCCAGGCAGCCAACACUGGAAUCCUGAAGAUGUGGACAUGAAAAGAUUAGUAAAAGAUGAAUUGACAGCUUCCUUUUGCAGAGCUAAGCUUCCAACUGUGUUGAGGCCUACACAUAAUGAAGUGGAAUGUGACACAGCAAGGGAGAAGAAAGGAAAUGCUUGUUUAUGUCUUUAAUACAUUGCUUCUGCCAAACCCAAACGAUGUCUGGCUGCCUCGUGACAGUGCAGAGUAACUGCGCGGGAAGUGGGCCGGAUGAACACUCCUUUAGCAUCGUCACUGCAGGUAGAUGGACUUGGCUCUAAUACAGAACUGUUUGCUCCCCUCACCCUCCAUGAACUUCCAUGUGAGUGGCUUCUAGAGGGGAGCCCUGAACAUGUACACAGUUCCAGGGAAUCCUUUGCCCUCCUCUGGUCUUCAUGUUUACAGAACCUGUUGUGGAACACCUAAUUUUUCUUUCCUCUCAUGUCAAAACAAGUGGAAAACCUGUCAGAGAUUAAACUGGAAAAAAAAAAAGAAGAAGAAGAAGCUGGCAAGACAAUAGAAGAACUGCAAACAAUGUCGUCUGCCUUUGCCAAGAUAUAAAUACAAAAGAAACGUCUGAAAGGACCAUGUACGGUAUCAAAUUAUCUGCAAAGUAAUGACUUAUAUUCUCCAUUCCCUGGCUGGGUGACUCAACCAACUGGAAAGUGAAGCAGUUGGUGUCUAGUUACCCCACAAUGAGGACGAAAGACAGGGGUCUGGGAAGAGCUUAUCUCAUCAGCCAUCUCAGGAGCGUCUCCCCUUUCUUAACACCCUUGUGUCAGAGCUGCAGAGGGAAACAGGAGGUGAGACUUGGAGGUAGGAGUUUCGAUCUCAGAACAUCUGCAGGAACCUGAUCGUGGCUGGAGGACCCGAUAUGGAAGGAAUGACAUGUAAGCCGAUUUAAGUCAUCUCUAAUUCCAACACCACGCUGGUGAAUGAUCUCAUGACCUCAGAGAGAAAAAGAAAACAAGGACAGCAGAACAGAAACUCGAAGAUUUAAGAAAGUGAAGUCAUGACGGGAUAUUGAACAAUGUCUGAGGUAAAGGCAAAAGAGAGUCCCAGACAGGUCUGGAGCGCUAUGUUCAACCCAAGGAGGUAUCUGAAUGAACAACAAAGCUGAAAAAGUCAUGCCAAAUUGAGGAUCAACCUGAGUGUGCUAAUGUCUGGGCAUCCCUGCAAGGUGAGCUCCUGAGCCAAGUAUCCAGUGACUUCAUUCUGAAACUCUCCAUGGACCCAAGACCUAGGAUGGGUUGUAAUGGAUGGCUAAGCACACAGCAACAUUUAUGUCACUGGAUGAGUCUGCCUAGCGUUUGAAGUUUAUAAUGAAAACAACAGGAGGGCUAUAGCUACUCACAGUUCUGCCCAAUUCAGGGGCAGGUAUCAAUCCAGGGGUCCUAGCGUGCCUCUUCUGGCUUUUUAAUUCACCAGGAUGACACACAGAACCUAGAAGUACCCUUUCCAGGCUGUUCCUGAUUUGCUAGAGAGGAUGCCACAGAGAAAGAGCCAAAGAGAAGAGAUGAGAGCUAUCACUGGGUAUGGUUUUGAGGUGUCUAUGGAAAUUGGCAUCUUCUAUGAGGAUGACGGAGGUAGAAGUUAAAUAAUAAUUCCAGGGUGUGAAAAGGAAAAGGUAAAACUAUGUUCUGAUUCCCGGAAUUUGUGAGACUGAAUGCAAAAGAAAACAGAUUAAAAUCAGCCAAGGGAAAAAGACACCCAGGUGUUCACCAUAAAUCAGGUUUGUUCACUUAAAUUAUUCGAUCAAACUGUCAGAAUGUGGUCCAAGGUAAAGAUACCCUUAGGGGAAAAUUUGGGGAAAAUCAGAGGUUGUCUUCUAAGACUCACUUAUUCUUCUUUCAGGUCUUC